rnacentral:misc_RNA from 1 species
AAGUCGUAACAAGGUUUCCGUAGGUGAACCUGCGGAAGGAUCAUUAAUAGAGCAAUGAGCAGUCAGCGCCCCGGGAGCAAUCCUGGGGGCCACCCUCCUCGGAGGGUUUAGAGACGUCGAGCCUCUCGGAGAAGCUCGGUUCAGACCUCCACCCUUGAAUAAAUUACCUUUGUUGCUUUGGCAGGACGCCUCGUGCCAGCGGCUUCGGCUGUUGAGUGCCUGCCGGAGGACCACAACUCUUGUUUUUAGUGAUGUCUGAGUACUAUAUAAUAGUUAAAACUUUCAACAACGGAUCUCUUGGUUCUG